AACGAACGCUGGCGGCAGGCCUAACACAUGCAAGUCGAGCGAGGACUUCGGUUCUAGCGGCGGACGGGUGAGUAACGCGUGGGAAUGUGCCCUUCUCUACGGAAUAGCCCUGGGAAACUGGGAGUAAUACCGUAUACGCCCUUUUGGGGAAAGAUUUAUCGGAGAAGGAUCAGCCCGCGUUGGAUUAGGUAGUUGGUGGGGUAAUGGCCUACCAAGCCGACGAUCCAUAGCUGGUUUGAGAGGAUGAUCAGCCACACUGGGACUGAGACACGGCCCAGACUCCUACGGGAGGCAGCAAUGGGGAAUCUUAGACAAUGGGGGCAACCCUGAUGUAGCCAUGCCGCGUGAGUGAUGAAGGCCUUAGGGUUGUAAAGCUCUUUAAGCUGGGAAGAUAAUGACGGUACCAGCAGAAGAAGCCCCGGCUAACUACGUG
rnacentral:rRNA from 1 species